rnacentral:tmRNA from 1 species
GCUUCCCGGGAAGCCACGCCUGGCCGCGUCCCCAAGGAAGCAUCAUCAAAAGCCGGGAUAAGCCAUGUAAGACCCUGGUGCAUGGACUAAAACCCAAAGGGUGUAGGCAGAGAAUAGGGGCGCCUUUUCCCGGUUCGAAACCGAAUACCCAACUAAAGGAUAAGCAUGUAGAAAGCAUUUUUGCUGCUUGUUUGGACGAGGGUUCAAUCCCCUCCAGCUCCACAA